UGUUGCAUGAGCCGGUGCCCACUCCUCUGACUUUCCUUUCCAACCUGCCAUCACAUGCGACAUCUCGAUUGCAUUCGAUGAAUGGUUGGGAUUGGAAACACCCAGCGGAGUGUGGCUGAGAAUAUACGGCCCUGAACUUGAUCUGGAUAAUACCAGCGAAAGGAUCAUGCUCCUCCCCCAU
rnacentral:ncRNA from 1 species